rnacentral:rRNA from 1 species
GACGAACCGAGCGAACGUUGUUCGGAAUCACUGGGCUUAAAGGGCGCGUAGGCGGUCUGUCAAGUCUGGGGUGAAAUCCCACGGCUCAACCGUGGAACUGCCUUAGAUACUGACUGCCUCGAGGGAGAUAGGGGCGAGCGGAACUGUGAGUGGAGCGGUGAAAUGCGUUGAUAUUCACAGGAACUCCGGUGGCGAAGGCGGCUCGCUGGAUCUUUUCUGACGCUGAGGCGCGAAAGCUAGGGGAGCAAACGGG